rnacentral:rRNA from 1 species
CGUGACCAUAGCAAGUCGGUCCCACCCCUUCCCAUCCCGAACAGGACCGUGAAACGACUUUGCGCCGAUGAUAGUGCUGCAACCAGUGUGAAAGUAGGUUAUCGUCAGGCU